rnacentral:rRNA from 1 species
UAGGGGAUCUUCCACAAUGGACGAAAGUCUGAUGGAGCAACGCCGCGUGAGUGAAGAAGGGUUUCGGCUCGUAAAACUCUGUUGUUAAAGAAGAACAUAUCUGAGAGUAACUGUUCAGGUAUUGACGGUACUUAACCAGAAAGCCACGGCUAACUACGUGCCGG